rnacentral:rRNA from 1 species
GAUGAACGCUGGCGGCGUGCUUAACACAUGCAAGUCGAACGAUGAAGCCCAGCUUGCUGGGUGGAUUAGUGGCGAACGGGUGAGUAACACGUGAGUAACCUGCCCUUAACUCUGGGAUAAGCCUGGGAAACUGGGUCUAAUACCGGAUAGGAGCGUCCACCGCAUGGUGGGUGUUGGAAAGAUUUAUCGGUUUUGGAUGGACUCGCGGCCUAUCAGCUUGUUGGUGAGGUAAUGGCUCACCAAGGCGACGACGGGUAGCCGGCCUGAGAGGGUGACCGGCCACACUGGGACUGAGACAGGGCCCAGACUCCAACGGGAGGCAGCAGUGGGGAAUAUUGCACAAUGGGCGCGAGCCUGAUGCAGCGACGCCGCGUGAGGGAUGACGGCCUUCGGGGUGUAAACCUCUUUCAGUAGGGAAGAAGCGAAAGUGACGGUACCUGCAGAAGAAGCACCGGCUAACUACGUG